GACGAACGCUGGCGGCGUGCUUAACACAUGCAAGUCGAACGGAAAGGCCCUGCUUUUGGGGGGUGCUAGAGUGGCGAACGGGUGAGUAACACGUGAGUAACCUGCCCUUGACUUUGGGAUAACUUCAGGAAACUGGGGCUAAUACCGGAUAGGAGCUCCUGCUGCAUGGUGGGGGUUGGAAAGUUUCGGCGGUUGGGGAUGGACUCGCGGCUUAUCAGCUUGUUGGUGGGGUAGUGGCUUACCAAGGCUUUGACGGGUAGCCGGCCUGAGAGGGUGACCGGCCACAUUGGGACUGAGAUACGGCCCAGACUCCUACGGGAGGCAGCAGUGGGGAAUAUUGCACAAUGGGCGGAAGCCUGAUGCAGCAACGCCGCGUGCGGGAUGACGGCCUUCGGGUUGUAAACCGCUUUCGCCUGUGACGAAGCGUGAGUGACGGUAAUGGGUAAAGAAGCACCGGCUAACUACAUG
rnacentral:rRNA from 1 species